CAGCUUGAGUGCCUGUGUGUGUAUAUGUGUAUAUGAAGAAAGUUCCAGUGUUUGUUAUGGCAGCUAAGAGCUGGGCUUAGGGUAUCGUCUUGUCGAUCAUUCCCGACUGGAGCAAUCUCAAUUUUUGAGCAUUGGCAAAUGAAUGGAUAGAAGUAGCGGAGGAAGAAGUGGAAGAAGGACGGGUAGUCGGCAGCAAAUUUACUUCGAUCGCCAAAGUGGAAGUGUAAAAUAGUGUAAAAAGUGAAGUACCCGUUAUAAAGCAAAUAAAACAAAUAAAAAUUAUUUUAAUAAAACCAAAAAAUCAAAAUGAAAAGCAAAACUCAUACAAACUCUGUGUGCAGCUGCAAGAAAACCUUUAUACUUGCGAUAACAAUGCGCAUAACUUUGCCCCACAUAUUGGGAUAUGAUGAGCUAUAUCUGUUUAAUAGAAUGAAAUUUCUUGUGAUAAGGGUCUAUAUAUCACUUACUAGUUUGAUAGUGCUUGAGAUGGUCUCGAUAUAUCUGAGUGUUAGUCUGCUCUAUGCGACGACCGAUUGGAUGGCUGUGCUGUAUUUGCCCCUACUGAUAUAUGCUAUGCACCGCACAUAUGCCACAUGUGUCGUGCAGCUUGCAACACUCAUAACUGUCAAAGAUGCUCGCGAUUUUCUUAUUGAACACUGGCGAAAAUACUUCGAAUCUGAUGAUCAGUUUUGGAUUGAGAUACAGGCAAAGUUGGGUUGUUGUGGCCUGGAGGGACCACGAACUUAUUUGGACUACUUGCGUAAGGUGCCGCCAAUAUGUUAUAAUGAAGGGAACGUUUUAAACACAAGGGGAUGUGAGGAUGUUGUUUAUGAUAGUUUCAAUGGCGUACAAUUCCUCGCCAAGGGACUCAGCUGGUUAGCACUGGGUCUACAGUUUCUUACGUUUGUGCUAUAUUUCCAGUUUGUUAUGCGUAAAUAUAUUUAUUUAAUUAACCAGAGAGGAAUAGGAAUGAACACAGAACACAGAAUAAAGUUUUGGGGACAAACAGAAAAGGUUGGAUUUCAGUUAAAAUGUAACUAUUUCGAUGGUUUUUUUAUAAAGCGCAAUAAAUUUUGAUAUAUUUUAAACAA